rnacentral:rRNA from 1 species
UACAGAGGUCUCAAGCGUUGUUCGGAUUCAUUGGGCGUAAAGGGUGCGUAGGCGGCGCGGUAAGUCGGGUGUGAAAUCUUGGAGCUUAACUCCGAAACUGCAUUCGAUACUGCCGUGCUUGAGGACUGGAGAGGAGACUGGAAUUUACGGUGUAGCGGUGAAAUGCGUAGAUAUCGUAAGGAAGACCAGUGGCGAAGGCGGGUCUCUGGACAGUUCCUGACGCUGGAGGCACGAAGGCCCAGGGGAGCAAACGGG